rnacentral:rRNA from 1 species
GCAUGUUAAGAUAAGCAACUAUACUGUGAAACUGCGAAUGGCUCAUUAAAUCAGUUAUCGUUUAUUUGAUAGUACCUUACUACUUGGAUAACCGUGGUAAUUCUAGAGCUAAUACAUGCUAAAAACCUCGACUUCGGAAGGGGUGUAUUUAUUAGAUAAAAAACCAAUGCCCUUCGGGGCUCACUGGUGAUUCAUAAUAACUUAACGAAUCGCAUGGCCUUGUGCCGGCGAUGGUUCAUUCAAAUUUCUGCCCUAUCACCUUUCGAUUGUUGGAUAGUGGCCAACAAUGGGUUCAACGGGUAACGGGGAAUUAGAAACUUAGUUCUCAAGUGGGGUUGCUUCGGCGGCUUCAAGUCUCCCCCGCCCCCUAGUUUGCACUGGGGCGGGGAAAGGCGACACACCUGGUUGCGGGGACCUCCUGUUAGGUCUGCAGUACCGGUGCCAGGGUAACUCCCGGGCAUAUGGUUAUAAGCUGCAGAAUAGGGACAAUCCGCAGCGACCUGGCUGCCCUUAGGGGGUGCUCGGCGUCUCAACGCUCGCUAAGGUGUGGGCUCUGUAUAGGGCUUAAGGUACGGGCUAGUCCCACCGGAAACGGUGCCAGUGGUUACCAACCGUGCAAGGUUGCCAGCCGCUGGGGGCAUUACGCCUGGUAUUCACGUAGGGUUCUAUUCCGGAGAGGGAGCCUGAGAAACGGCUACCACAUCCAAGGAAGGCAGCAGGCGCGCAAAUUACCCAAUCCCGACACGGGGAGGUAGUGACAAUAAAUACUGAUACAGGGCUCUUUUGGGUCUUGUAAUUGGAAUGAGUACAAUUUAAAUCCCUUAACGAGGAACAAUUGGAGGGCAAGUCUGGUGGACAUUGGCGUCCUGAGGUGUUAAAACCUCUUAUUGCUGACGCCAGAAAGAGAAGAACUUCGGUUCUACUAGUCGACUAUACUACAAGCUUUGGGUGUAUAGCGGCAAGACAACCUGGAUCGGGGGAGGCUAAGGGCGCAAGCCUAUGCUAACCCCGAGCCGAGCUACUGGAGGGCAACCCCCAGAUAGCCGGUGUAGAGCGCGGAAAGGUGUCGGUCAUCCUAUCUGAUAGGUGGCUUGAGGGACGUGCCGUCUCACCCGAAAGGGUGUUUCUAAGGAGGAGCUCCCAAAGGGCAAAUCUUAGAAAAGGGUGUAUACCCUAUAAUUUAACGGCCAGCAGCCGCGGUAAUUCCAGCUCCAAUAGCGUAUAUUAAAGUUGUUGCAGUUAAAAAGCUCGUAGUUGAACCUUGGGCCUGGCUGGCCGGUCCGCCUCACCGCGUGCACUGGUCCGGCCGGGUCUUUCCUUCUGGGGAGCCGCAUGCCCUUCACUGGGUGUGUCGGGGAACCAGGACUUUUACUUUGAAAAAAUUAGAGUGUUCAAAGCAGGCCUAUGCUCGAAUACAUUAGCAUGGAAUAAUAGAAUAGGACGUGUGGUUCUAUUUUGUUGGUUUCUAGGACCGCCGUAAUGAUUAAUAGGGAUAGUCGGGGGCGUCAGUAUUGCGUUGUCAGAGGUGAAAUUCUUGGAUUUACGCAAGACUAACUACUGCGAAAGCAUUCGCCAAGGAUGUUUUCAUUAAUCAGUGAACGAAAGUUAGGGGAUCGAAGACGAUCAGAUACCGUCGUAGUCUUAACCAUAAACUAUGCCGACUAGGGAUCGGGCGAUGUUAUCUUUUUGACUCGCUCGGCACCUCACGAGAAAUCAAAGUCUUUGGGUUCUGGGGGGAGUAUGGUCGCAAGGCUGAAACUUAAAGAAAUUGACGGAAAGGCACCACCAGGCGUUAGCAACUCUGCGCCGAAUAGCAGCCCGGAAGGUCCGUGGUGCCUAUAACAUGCUAGUCUUGGGCUCACCCCCAAGGCGACACCCCUAAAUUGCGGGAACUCCCUAAAGCUCUCGCUACCGCCCCGGCGCCGAAAGGCUGCAGGCACCGGGUUAACAACCACGGGUAUGGUCAAAACGCGAGAGAUGUCACAAUGGGUAAUCCGCAGCCAAGUCCCUACCGGCCCGUACGGCCCAGGGGAAAGGUUCAGAGACUAAAUAGGGAUGGGCGAUCUGGUAUCGCUUAAGAGAUAGUCCGGCGGUAGGUCAACACCUACGACGAAUAAACGGGAGCCUGCGGCUUAAUUUGACUCAACACGGGGAAACUCACCAGGUCCAGACAUAAUAAGGAUUGACAGAUUGAGAGCUCUUUCUUGAUUUUAUGGGUGGUGGUGCAUGGCCGUUCUUAGUUGGUGGAGUGAUUUGUCUGCUUAAUUGCGAUAACGAACGAGACCUUAACCUGCUAAAUAGCCAGGCUAGCUUAGGCUGGUCGCCGGCUUCUUAGAGGGACUAUCGGCUCAAGCCGAUGGAAGUUUGAGGCAAUAACAGGUUAACCUUCACAGGCCUGUAAAAGUGGUCGUCCGCUAGUCCAACGUUUUAAUCUCUGUGAAGAAGUCUUCUUCUGCCGGGCAGAGAGGUGUCCUCGCGACGCCAUACGUGGGCAACACUACCUGGAACAGGAAACGCCGGAGUAAGUCUGCUCAGCAGCAUUGGCCGAUCCUGUGGCGAGUCAAGGUAACGCUUGACCGUCGCAACGCGCGCUAAGGAGUGGGUAUCGAACCCCUAGAGGGUCGAUAUUUGAGGUACGUGCUAUCCGCUGGGUAACCAGUCUUAUGCGUCAAGGCCCGGCAGGCCGAAACGUGUAGGGGCACCACCCUUUUGGGGUGGUGCUGGCGUCGAAUUGCUGUGAUGCCCUUAGAUGUUCUGGGCCGCACGCGCGCUACACUGACAGAGCCAACGAGUUCAUCACCUUGCCCGAAAGGGUUGGGUAAUCUUGUUAAACUCUGUCGUGCUGGGGAUAGAGCAUUGCAAUUAUUGCUCUUCAACGAGGAAUGCCUAGUAAGCGCAAGUCAUCAGCUUGCG